rnacentral:rRNA from 1 species
UACGUAGGGGGCAAGCGUUGUCCGGAUUUAUUGGGCGUAAAGAGCUCGUAGGUGGUUUGGUAAGUCGGAUGUGAAAUCUCCAGGCUCAACCUGGAGGGGUCAUUCGAUACUGCCAUGACUAGAGGUCGGUAGGGGAGUGUGGAAUUCCUGGUGGAGCGGUGAAAUGCGCAGAUAUCAGGAGGAACACCCGUAGCGAAGGCGGUUCUCUGGGACGGUACUGACGCUGAGACGCGAAAGCGUGGGGAGCGAACAGG